rnacentral:rRNA from 1 species
CCGGCACGGGUGAGUAACACGUAUCCAACCUGCCGUCUACUCUUGGACAGCCUUCUGAAAGGAAGAUUAAUACAAGAUGGCAUCAUGAAUCCGCAUGUUCACAUGAUUAAAGGUACUCCGGUAGACGAUGGGGAUGCGUUCCAUUAGAUAGUAGGCGGGGUAACGGCCCACCUAGUCUUCGAUGGAUAGGGGUUCUGAGAGGAAGGUCCCCCACAUUGGAACUGAGACACGGUCCAA